GGGUGCGAUCAUACCAGCACUAAUGCACCGGAUCCCAUCAGAACUCCGCAGGUAAGCGUGCUUGGGAGAGAGUUGUACUAGGAUGGGUGACCUCUCAGGAAGUCCUCGUGUUGCACCCC
rnacentral:rRNA from 1 species